UACGUAGGGUGCAAGCGUUGUCCGGAAUUAUUGGGCGUAAAGAGCGUGUAGGCGGCCUGAAAGGUCAGCUGUGAAAACUCGAGGCUCAACCUCGAGACGUCGGUUGAAACCAUCUGGCUAGAGUCCGGAAGAGGAGAGUGGAAUUCCCGGUGUAGCGGUGAAAUGCGCAGAUAUCGGGAGGAACACCAAUUGCGAAGGCAGCUCGCUGGGACGUCACUGACGCUGAGACGCGAAAGCGUGGGGAGCAACAGG
rnacentral:rRNA from 1 species